GGAUGUGAGGGCGAUCUAGCUGCAAAAUCUGUCAUCCAUUUGAUCACCAGGGUUGAUUUGGCUGAUCUGGCUGGCUAGGCGGGUGUCCCCUUCCUCCCUCACUGCUCCACGUGCAUCCCUCCAAGCUGCGUGCUCAGUCGAAGAGAGUAAGCAUAUCCGAUAGAGGAAGACCAUUUCCUUGGUCAAGGGUAUAGGAGUAGCUAAGCUCCCCUGCUAGAAUCACCAAACAAGCUUUCAGAAAACACACACACACACACACACACACACACACACACACACAGAGUAAUCCCUUU
rnacentral:snRNA from 1 species